GAAAUGCGAUAAGUAGUGUGAAUUGCAGAAUUCAGUGAAUCAUCGAAUCUUUGAACGCACAUUGCGCCCCUUGGUAUUCCAUGGGGCAUGCCUGUUCGAGCGUCAUUUGUACCCUCAAGCUCUGCUUGGUGUUGGGUGUCUGUCCCGCCUCCGCGCGCGGACUCACCUCAAAUCCAUUGGCGGCCCCCGCGUCGGCCACGAGCGCAGCAGAAACGCGAACUCGUGAGCCCGUCCGGGCGGCUCCCAGAAGCUACACCCACCCAGUUUGACCUCGGAUCAGGUAGGGAUACCCGCUGAACUUAAGC
rnacentral:misc_RNA from 1 species